rnacentral:rRNA from 1 species
GACGAACCGUGCGAACGUUAUUCGGAAUCAUUGGGCUUAAAGCGCGUGUAGGCGGGUUCGUGCGUCCGACGCUGAAAUCCCCCGGCUCAACCGGGGAACGGGCGGGGAUACGACGAGCCUGGAGGGGCGUAGGGGGACCUGGAACUUCCGGUGGAGCGGUGAAAUGCGUUGAGAUCGGAAGGAACGCCCGUGGCGAAAGCGAGGUCCGUCGGACGCCUACGUGACGCUGAGACGCGAAAGCCAGGGGGAGCGAACGGGG